rnacentral:rRNA from 1 species
GACGAACGCUGGCGGCGUGCUUAACACAUGCAAGUCGAACGGAAAGGCCCUGCUUUUGUGGGGUGCUCGAGUGGCGAACGGGUGAGUAACAUGUGAGUAACCUGCCUUUGACUUUGGGAUAACUUCAGGAAACUGGGGCUAAUACCGGAUAGGAGCUCCUGCUGCAUGGUGGGGGUUGGAAAGUUUCGGCGGUUGGGGAUGGACUCGCGGCUUAUCAGCUUGUUGGUGGGGUAGUGGCUUACCAAGGCUUUGACGGGUAGCCGGCCGGAGAGGGUGACCGGCCACACUGGGACUGAGACACGGCCCAGACUCCUACGGGAGGCAGCAGUGGGGAAUAUUGCACAAUGGGCGGAAGCCUGAUGCAGCAACGCCGCGUGCGGGAUGACGGCCUUCGGGUUGUAAACCGCUUUCGCCUGUGACGAAGCGUGAGUGACGGUAAUGGGUAAAGAAGCACCGGCUAACUACGUG